rnacentral:lncRNA from 1 species
CGUUUCCACCAUAGUGCUGUUGAAAUCAGCUGCAGGGGGGCAGACACACACACACUUUGUCAUCUUAAGAUGGCGGACUACCAUUCUACCAGCCCAGACACCUCUCCAGAUCAGACUCUGUCCUGUGACUGUGGACCUGAUGGUUUGCACCCCACUCCUGAGGCUCCUUCUUUGAGUGAUGUGCACACAGAGCCUUGACCUACACAGAAGCUUCUGUAGCCUGGGUAGGAAGGAGCCCUCAACUCCGAGGGCCUGUGGAGCUUGAAGACCUUGAGUCUGGCAGUUGAGGCCAGUGGGGUGUCGUGGUUAGCACCGCCUGUGCACGUGAUCCGAGCACUACCUAAGGGCCCCCCUGAUGGAGGUGGGGGCUGAGAUGAGAAAGGGAAGAUCUGCAUCCUCCGUGGGGCUGUGUAGUUCUGGGGUGGCUUCAGCUUCCUUAUACAGACGCCUCUGCCAUGAACCCUGUGGAUCUUGCCUUCCUUUCUCACCAGCCCUCUUAUAAGCAGACUUCCACCACACACCGCAGGGUGGGGGGGGCUGCGAUUUGGGGACCAACCAAACCCACAAGAAGUUCCAUUGCAGCCAAGGUGACAGAGUUGGGGUGUGAGGGUGGGCAAAGAGUAGAAAUGGCUCUCCAAGUGUUCCUCGCCAUGAGCUGAAGUGCGGCACAAAGCUGAGUAGAAGUGGCCUUCCAUGGCCGCCCACUAUUACCAGAGAAGAGGGGAAAGGCCCCUGAUCUUCAUAAGCCUCGAGUCAUUACCCUUGCGACAAGCCAGCUAGUCUUCUCUCUGCCGCCCGUUCUCGGCCCUUCCUGACUUCAUUUCUGAAUCCACCCACCACAGAUUUUUCCACCUUCUAUGUGCUUACCACGCAGUUUAAUCCAUCCAUAUUCACACACACACAUAUACACACUACACACACAUACCAUACCACACACACACACAGACACACAUAUAUGCACACAUCACACCACACACAUAUAACACACACAGAUACACACUACACAUACACACACACAUAGCACACACACACACUACACCAGAUAAACACCACACAAACACACACACACACCACUACCACCACCACACACACACAUACACACAUAGCACACACACCACCACCACCACCACCACCACCACCACCACAACCACCACCACCACUACCACUACCACCACCACUGAAGAAAAUGGCCCCAGGUGUCUUCUGCAAAGAGAAAUAUUUUAAAACAUAAAAUCUUAAUUGAAAUAUAUAACUAGCAAAUGUCACAUUGACAUAAAAGUUUUCUGAGAAGGUCUACAUUACCAUCCCCCUCAGCUUCUUUGUCCCCUUACUGAAUGUGAAGAUUGUAACACUUUGAGAGGGAAAGUCUUACUUCCAGGCUAGGGUGCAGCUCAGCACAAGAAUGUCCGCCUAGCACUAGCACGAGAGAGGCCCUGGUUUCCAAGCCUGGCUGGAAGAGAAAGAGAUAGACAGAUGAGAGCUGAUAGAUAGAUAGAUAGAUAGAUAGAUAGAUAGAUAGAUAGAUAGAUAGAUAGAUAGAUAGCAACAGACAAAUUGUAGUUUUGAAACAUACCCCAGAGCAGGCAGGAAGACUAUGGGAACAAAACUAGUCUAUGGUCCUCCCUAUAAGGUCCAUUGUCCUCCCUGUAAGGUGCACGCCACUGAAAGGCAUGCUGGUCUCUAGUAAGGCUUGGAAAUCUCUGUGACAGGACAGACUUGGGAACGAGCUUGGGCAUCUUUGAGGAUGCAGAAGCCUUGAAUUUAGACUUCUGCAGUCAGGAAGGAAGAAGAAAGAGUGGUGGAAGAGGAUAUAUAUUGUCACAUUUCAGAGGACAGCAAUGCUAUCUCAUGCAAAGGGUUGUUUAGGAUACUUCAACAGACAGUGAUUCCGGGCGUCACGAUUGGGGAUCUACACUCUUCAUCUGAAACCAACACCUGAAUCUGGGUCACCCUGGGGUUGUUCUCUAAGAAGACAGGACCGAGCAGCCGUGGGGAUGGGCAAUAAGGAUAGAGUUGGGGACCACAGUUUCUAAGGACAAGGGACUUGGAAGAGCCUAGAGGGCAGGUGUGGGCUUUGACCCAGAGUGAGCUCAGAGCGUAAUGGAAGUCUCUGUCUCUUGCCUUACCAAAGCUGUGACCUCCAUCACCCACCAAGCCAUCACCAUGCUAAAUAGGUGUUUUUAGGAAGAAGUCGGAUACACCGUUCCCCUAAACCCUCCAAUGGCAGACCAUCUGAUCCACUGAUACCACUCGGUUGUUAUCCAAAACUGGAACAUUCACGCUUUGAUUUUAA